rnacentral:tRNA from 1 species
UAUUUCAAAGUAAAUAACUUCACUAAUAUCUUCAAUAUUAUGCUCUAAAUAUAAGCUAUUAAAAU